rnacentral:rRNA from 1 species
GAUGAACGCUGGCGGCGUGCCUAAUACAUGCAAGUCGAGCGAACAGAUGAGGAGCUUGCCCCUCUGACGUUAGCGGCGGACGGGUGAGUAACACGUGGAUAACCUACCUAUAAGACUGGGAUAACUUCGGGAAACCGGAGCUAAUACCGGAUAAUAUAUUGAACCGCAUGGUUCAAUAGUGAAAGACGGUUUUGCUGUCACUUAUAUAUGGAUCCGCGCCGCAUUAGCUAGUUGGUAAGGUAACGGCUUACCAAGGCGACGAUGCGUAGCCGACCUGAGAGGGUGAUCGGCCACACUGGAACUGAGACACGGUCCAGACUCCUACGGGAGGCAGCAGUAGGGAAUCUUCCGCAAUGGGCGAAAGCCUGACGGAGCAACGCAGCGUGAGUGAUGAAGGUCUUCGGAUCGUAAAACUCUGUUAUUAGGGAAGAACAAAUGUGUAAGUAACUAUGCACGUCUUGACGGUACCUAAUCAGAAAGCCACGGCUAACUACGUG